GUGGGGGAUAUUGCACAAUGGAGGAAACUCUGAUGCAGCGACGCCGCGUGAGGGAAGACGGUCUUCGGAUUGUAAACCUCUGUCUUAGGGGAAGAAAAUGACGGUACCCUAAGAGGAAGCUCCGGCUAACUACGUGCCAGCAGCCGCGGUAAUACGUAGGGAGCGAGCGUUGUCCGGAAUUACUGGGUGUAAAGGGAGCGUAGGCGGGAUGGCAAGUUGGAUGUUUAAACUAACGGCUCAACUGUUAGGUGCAUCCAAAACUGCUGUUCUUGAGUGAAGUAGAGGCAGGCGGAAUUCCUAGUGUAGCGGUGAAAUGCGUAGAUAUUAGGAGGAACACCAGUGGCGAAGGCGGCCUGCUGGGCUUUAACUGACGCUGAGGCUCGAAAGCGUGGGGAGCAAACAGGAUUAGAAACCCCGGUAGUCC
rnacentral:rRNA from 1 species